rnacentral:rRNA from 1 species
AGUCUGCCUUGAAGAUCGGAGUGCUUGCACUCUGUGAAACAAGAUACAGGCUAGCGGCGGACGGGUGAGUAACACGUGGGUAACCUGCCCAAGAGAUCGGGAUAACACCUGGAAACAGAUGCUAAUACCGGAUAACAACAGAUGAUGCCUAUCAACUGUUUAAAAGAUGGUUCUGCUAUCACUCUUGGAUGGACCUGCGGUGCAUUAGCUAGUUGGUAGGGUAACGGCCUACCAAGGCGAUGAUGCAUAGCCGAGUUGAGAGACUGAUCGGCCACAUUGGGACUGAGACACGGCCCAAACUCCUACGGGAGGCAGCAGUAGGGAAUCUUCCACAAUGGACGCAAGUCUGAUGGAGCAACGCCGCGUGAGUGAAGAAGGGUUUCGGCUCGUAAAGCUCUGUUGUUGGUGAAGAAGGACAGGGGUAGUAACUGACCUUUGUUUGACGGUAAUCAAUUAGAAAGUCACGGCUAACUACGUGCCAGCAGCCGCGGUAAUACGUAGGUGGCAAGCGUUGUCCGGAUUUAUUGGGCGUAAAGCGAGUGCAGGCGGCUCGAUAAGUCUGAUGUGAAAGCCUUCGGCUCAACCGGAGAAUUGCAUCAGAAACUGUCGAGCUUGAGUACAGAAGAGGAGAGUGGAACUCCAUGUGUAGCGGUGAAAUGCGUAGAUAUAUGGAAGAACACCGGUGGCGAAGGCGGCUCUCUGGUCUGUUACUGACGCUGAGGCUCGAAAGCAUGGGUAGCGAACAGGAUUAGAUACCCUGGUAGUCCAUGCCGUAAACGAUGAGUGCUAAGUGUUGGGAGGUUUCCGCCUCUCAGUGCUGCAGCUAACGCAUUAAGCACUCCGCCUGGGGAGUACGACCGCCAGGGUUGAAACUCAAA